rnacentral:rRNA from 1 species
AUACGGAGGGUGCAAGCGUUGUUCGGAAUCACUGGGCGUAAAGGGCGCGCAGGCGGUUUGAUAAGUCAGAUGUGAAAGCCCACGGCUCAACCGUGGAAGUGCAUUUGAAACUGUCAGACUUGAGUACUAGAGGGGCAAGUGGAAUUCCCGGUGUAGAGGUGAAAUUCGUAGAUAUCGGGAGGAAUACCGGUGGCGAAGGCGACUUUCUGGCUAGAUACUGACGCUGAGGCGCGAAGGCGUGGGGAGCAAACAGGAUUAGAUACCCUUGUAGUCC